ensembl:miRNA
UCCCCCAGUCUGGCCACAGAGCCUUUAAUAUCCAGAGAAUCAGGCCUGCAGCCCUGCCAGGGGUGUG